rnacentral:rRNA from 1 species
UUCUGACCGUAAACGAUGCCAACUAGCGAUCCGCCGGCGGAUCAUUCGCCCUGGUGGGGAGCUUCCCGGAAACGAAAGUCUUCCGGUUCCGGGGGAAGUAUGGUUGCAAAGCUGAAACUUAAAGGAAUUGACGGAAGGGCACCACCAGGAGUGGAGCCUGCGGCUUAAUUUGACUCAACACGGGGAAACUCACCCGGCCCGGACACCGCGAGGAUUGACAGAUUGACAGCUCUUUCAUGAUUCGGUGGAUGGUGGUGCAUGGCCGUUCUUAGUUCGUGGAGCGAUUUGUCUGGUUUAUUCCGAUAACGAGCGAGACUCUAGCCUGCUAAAUAGUCCAGUCAUCCCGCAACAGUGACUGCCGACUUCUUAGAGGGAUCAUCGGCGUUCAGCCGCACGAGAUUGAGCAAUAACAGGUCUGUGAUGCCCUUAGAUGUCCGGGGCUGCACGCGCGCUACACUGGCGAAGGCAGCGUGCCUGUCCUUUCCCGAAAGGGAUGGGUAAACCAUUGAAAAUUCGCCGUGAUUGGGAUCGGAAAUUGCAAUUAUUUUCCGUGAACGAGGAAUUCCAAGUAAGUGCGAGUCAUCAACUCGCGUUG